GUCGCUUUAGCUCAAUUGGGAGAGCGCCAGACUGAAGCUCCAAACUUCAGGACCUGUUAUCUGGAGGCACUGUGUUCGAUCCACAGAAGCGACA